rnacentral:rRNA from 3 species
AAGGGUUUCGGCCUUAGUGGCGGACGGGUGAGUAACGCGUAGGUAUCUAUCCAUGGGGUGGGGGAUAACACUGGGAAACUGGUGCUAAUACCGCAUGACACCUGAGGGUCAAAGGCGUAAGUCGCCUGUGGAGGAGCCUGCGUUUGAUUAGCUAGUUGGUGGGGUAAAGGCCUACCAAGGCGAUGAUCAAUAGCUGGUUUGAGAGGAUGAUCAGCCACACUGGGACUGAGACACGGCCCAGACUCCUACGGGAGGCAGCAGUGGGGAAUAUUGGACAAUGGGGGCAACCCUGAUCCAGCAAUGCCGCGUGUGUGAAGAAGGUCUUCGGAUUGUAAAGCACUUUCGACGGGGACGAUGAUGACGGUACCCGUAGAAGAAGCCCCGGCUAACUUCGUGCCAGCAGCCGCGGUAAUACGAAGGGGGCUAGCGUUGCUCGGAAUGACUGGGCGUAAAGGGCGUGUAGGCGGUUUGUACAGUCAGAUGUGAAAUCCCCGGGCUUAACCUGGGAGCUGCAUUUGAUACGUGCAGACUAGAGUGUGAGAGAGGGUUGUGGAAUUCCCAGUGUAGAGGUGAAAUUCGUAGAUAUUGGGAAGAACACCGGUGGCGAAGGCGGCAACCUGGCUCAUUACUGACGCUGAGGCGCGAAAGCGUGGGGAGCAAACAGGAUUAGAUACCC